rnacentral:lncRNA from 1 species
UGGCAGCUCUGUUAUCUGGGGUAAGACACAGGAAAACGUGCUUCCGGUUCUCGGCGGAAGUAGCCCCGAACGGUAGAACCGAUGGGAAAUGUAGUCCAGGGCAGAAAAGCGGUCAACCCAGCCACGAUGCGAGCCAAAGGAUUCUUGGCUCCAAGCCUGGUCCUGGCUGUUAGUUUGGAACUCAUGCACCCAGAUGCUAACUCGCCCUCAGAAUGCAGAGGGGAUGAAACACUGACCGGACAAUUCAAUCUGUAUAUGGGUGAGUCCAGGGCUCAGUCUGCAUUGCGCGGAAAAUGAAGGUGAAGGUGGAGGUGGGACCUGAUGGUCUCGUCCCGGAUAGGGUUGAAGAAGUGGGAGAAAAGGAAUCAAAAUCGUGGAUGGGAUAAGAUUGUGCGCGAAUGCUCUCUGGGAGCGGAUCGUGGCCGACGAGGGCCCGAAGAUGCUGCCUUGUGAUCGCAGGUGUGAGUGGAAGCUGUGUGAGUGUCAAUGUGAGUUGCCUGUUUGGGAGACCAGCAUUGUAUUUUUGUAUCAGGUAGUAACCUUGGAGCCAGGUAUUUGUAAAAUUAUGAUAAGAGGGCAUCAUUCUGGAGCAUCGAUUUUAUUUGGAGGUUGACAGGAGAGGGAAAAAAACCCCUAAUAUCUGAUAAACAACAUAAAUAGAUUUUUAUGUUAAAGUAGUUAUAUUUAUUACGGUCUAGAAUGCAAAUCCAACAUGGCUUUUAAAGCAAGAAAGAUUUUUUUUAUACAAAGUCAAAGGUAUUAUUUUUAUACACUUACUACAAAACAUACAAAUAGUAUACCAAGCCUAAGAAUAUAAAGAGUCUAGCUUUAAUUAAUUGAAUGUAAAUUUAAAAACAAGCAUCUAAUAAGUAGUCCUUUUCACACAUCGAAAAGCCAAUUUCGGAAUUUUUUUAAAAACUCAAAUUACAAAGUAACAAAUAUCUGGUGUCUUAGUAACUUGAAGAUCAGUACUAAUGAUUAAGCCAGCUUAUAUGCUAAUAUGAUACAUGAAAAAGCCUGUAUUUCACAAAUAGCAAACCACUAAAACUUUAAUUUUCCACAGAAGCCAUUGUUUCACACCAAUAAUUAUGUUAAAGAUCAAGACAGGCUAAAAGUUUUUAAUGAGCACUGAAUCCAUUAAAACUUGGCAAAUUUUUCCACGAAGGUAGAAUUUUAAUUUCUGUUUAAACCAUGGGUAGAUGGUACACCCUUGUGAGGGUGUACUGUAAGUACUUCUAAGGAGCUUUAUCAGACUUCAUCCCAAAUUAUGUACCUAGUAAAAGAUGUACCAAUGUCUACUUUGGAAUAAGAAAUUAUUCCUUGUUUGAGCAAGGAUUAAGCAGAAACUGAAAGAAGUGUAGUUUAUAGCUUCUUACAUAAAGUAGAUGGGCACCCCUCAAAAACAAACCAAUAUCCUGGCUCCUUAAAUAUCAACAUUAAUCUAAAUAAUGUAUAGCAUGCUCCUGUCCAAUCUUUCCCGCUCAUUUGUAGUCUUCUCAGAUCGAUGCUUCAUUUUAGUCACACAUUUCUAUCCUGCAAGACUGGGUACCUGGGCUUUUUGUCUGGUUUUGUAACACUAGGCAGUUUUGGCCUUACUCAAAAUAUAAGACUGCAAAAGGCCUGUUUUACCUCAACCAUACGGCUUCAGGAAAUGGUCUGUAUUUCCAACAGAAAAGUGGUAUCUAACUCUCAGGAUGGUUUCUAACAACUGGAUAGAUACCUGGGUCUUUGCGGCCUGUGAUGCAGCCUAACAAUACAGGACCUUGUGUGAUCAGCUAGGUCUGCUAAAGCAAGGGGACAUCCAUGUUCUAGAUUUUUAUUUAUUUAUUUUUUUUUGAGACGGAGUCUUGCUCUGUCGCCCAGGCUGGAGUGCAGUGGCGUGAUCUCGGCUCACUGCAAACUCCGCCUCCCGGGUUCAAGCCAUUCUCCUGCCUCAGCCUCCUGAGUAGCUGGGACUACAGGCGCCCGCCACCACGCCCGGCUAAUUUUUUGUAUUUUUCGUAGAGACGGGGUUUCACCGUAUUAGCCAAGAUGGUCUCGAUCUCCUGACUUCGUGAUCCGCCCGCCUUGGCCUCCCAAAGUGCUGGGAUUACAGGCGUGAGCCACCUCGCCCGGCCCAUGUUCUAGAUUUUUUAUUCUGGUUUAGCAGGAUCCAAACUGCCUGUCCUGAAGAGACUCUCUUUCUCUUCCAUACAACGGCUGGCCUCUACCAAGUUAACUGCUUCGUGGGGGGAAAAUAUUGCCUUUCCUUUGGUCUGCAUGUUUUAAGGGAAAUACCAAAUACACCUACAGGAGUUUAUCAAUAAUAGACAAGGCUGAUUUCAAACUCUUUCAGGAGAUAAACUGGAGGGGAAGACGAAUGGCAGGAGGGUGAAGAGGAAACUGAAUUACUGUGCAAACACCCGCCACUCAAAUCCGGGUGGUUACUGCAGAGUGAAUAACGAUAGGUACUAUUUCGUGUAAGGCAAAGUCCUUUGAAAGGGCUCCUAGAGCGUCAAGGCCUCCACCUGAUGAAUGAAUGAGUCAGGCAGGCCCAGCUCCACUUCACGGAUGGGAAAACUGAGGUACGAGGCCUCGCUGAAAGAUGCGAGGCAGAGCGGAGAACCAGAAGCACCACUUCUCUCAGGCUGAUGCUCUAAUCUCGGCUCCCCCCGCCCCUACAAUGGCGUAGACGGCCUCCGCCGCCCGACUCACACACACCCUCCCCCGGGAACGGCAAGUCUCCUCGGGUUCCAAGGACAGGGUCAAAAGACAAGAGGCCCGAGGCGCUCCCGCCGUGAUUUGCAGCCAGAUACCGUUGGGAGCGCAGCCAGAGAGCGUUGGGAGCGUGCGUACCUCCAGCCCAACAUGGCGGCGGCAGCGGCCGCCCCCGACCCCAAGCCCUCCCUCAGGGCCCGAGGCUUCUCCUCAGGGCCUUCCGGUGGGCGGGAAGACAGCGCAACCCCGCCAGGCCUUUCUCGUCGCUGCGCCUGCUCGCUGAAGGAGUCACCUACCCGACGAGACUAACGGCUGCGGCGCGGAAUUAGUUGGAUGUUAUAAUUUCUGAUUUCUUCUGGUAGUUUUGUCAUCUUUCAUCCCUUUUAUUUUUAUUUAUUUUUAUUUUUUGAGAUGGAGUCUCGUUCUGUCGCCAGACUGGAGUACUGCGGCGCGAU